rfam:Medicago truncatula strain A17 chromosome 2, whole genome shotgun sequence.
AAGAAGUGUAGCAUUCCGUUUACGUGAAUAACUUUGAUUAUUAAAUAAAAUUUUUAUGUUGGAAAAACGGGGUGUUACAUUUAU